CACCUGAGCGCCACCUUUUCCGGUGUCCUCGGGGAGGAGGAGAAGAAACAGGAAGUGUUUCCGGUGUUUUUGCUGCUCCAAUGACUGAUCCUUAUCUAUUGCACUUUCGAUAUGAGUCUAAACUAAGUACCGUACCCUCCAUCGCUUCACCGAUCCGACGGUCCACAUCGGCGAUCGGGCUCCUCCAUCUUCUCUGCGUUCGGCCGCUGCUUCCGUACCCCCGAAUCGCUCUUCCCAAUAGGGUUCUCGUUACAGAACUGAAGAGUACGAUGAGGAUAAAGGAGACUGACGAAUAUGAAGAGGAUGCAUCUGAACAUGAUGGAGAAGAUGAACAAGAAACUCCAAGACCCACCAAGGAGGAAUGAGAAUUUCACAUGUUGAGGGAACAACUAAAGGACAGGAUUAGAAGAAAUCUUGAAAAAACAAAUGCCAAGGCUUUUUGUCAUUUGUCUCAAACCAAUGACAAGAGAAGAACAAUACCAAAUGGCAUGUACAAUCCUAGUAAAUAUUCAGGGAUUGACGACGAUGACAGCGAUCAUGGAAGUUGGUUGUGAUGUAACACACAAAGAAGAGCGAAUAAGGUAUGGAUGCAUGUUUCUUCAUCAUGGUAUACACAAUCUUGAGCAAAUUUUGCACAAGAGGGUAGCAUA